rnacentral:tRNA from 1 species
GCGGGAGUAUGCUUAAUGGUGCGUCGUAAUCAUGAAGCGACAAAGCAACAAGGUCACAGGCCCGAAAGGGAGUGAUUGUUGUUGAAGAGCAGCGCCCUUCUAAGGUGUGCGUGUUGGUUCGAUUCCAACCUCCCGCU